rnacentral:rRNA from 1 species
UACGGAGGAGGCAAGCGUUAUCCGGAAUUACUGGGCGUAAAGCGUGCGCAGGCGGUUGUGCCAGACAGAUGUGAAAUCCCCGGGCUUAACCUGGGAAUUGCAUCUGUGACUGCAUAGCUAGAGUACGGUAGAGGGGGAUGGAAUUCCGCGUGUAGCAGUGAAAUGCGUAGAUAUGCGGAGGAACACCGAUGGCGAAGGCAAUCCCCUGGACCUGUACUGACGCUCAUGCACGAAAGCGUGGGGAGCAAACAGG